CUGUCUGCUUAACAAGGAUUUAGUCCCUCACAAUGGCUACAAACAUCAACCUCCUUGGAAGUGUGUGCAGGUUGCAUAUAUGGGUUGCCCUAAGCAACUUUGGAGACAGUU
rnacentral:snoRNA from 1 species